rnacentral:rRNA from 1 species
ACGAACGCUGGCGGCGUGCCUAGUACAUGCAAGUUGAGCGAUGAAGAUUGGUGCUUGCACCAAUUUGAAGAGCAGCGAACGGGUGAGUAACGCGUGGGGAAUCUGCCUUUGAGCGGGGGACAACAUUUGGAAACGAAUGCUAAUACCGCAUAACAACUUUAAACAUAAGUUUUAAGUUUGAAAGAUGCAAUUGCAUCACUCAAAGAUGAUCCCGCGUUGUAUUAGCUAGUUGGUGAGGUAAAGGCUCACCAAGGCGAUGAUACAUAGCCGACCUGAGAGGGUGAUCGGCCACAUUGGGACUGAGACACGGCCCAAACUCCUACGGGAGGCAGCAGUAGGGAAUCUUCGGCAAUGGACGAAAGUCUGACCGAGCAACGCCGCGUGAGUGAAGAAGGUUUUCGGAUCGUAAAACUCUGUUGGUAGAGAAGAACGUUGGUGAGAGUGGAAAGCUCAUCAAGUGACGGUAACUACCCAGAAAGGGACGGCUAACUACGUG